rnacentral:tRNA from 1 species
AGGGCCAUAGCUCAGCUGGUAGAGCGCCGGUCUCCAAAACCGGAUGUCGUCGGUUCGAUCCCGGCUGGCCCUGCCA